GUGCUUGCUUCAGCAGCACACAUACUAAAAUUGGAACGACACAGAGAUUAGCAUGGACCCUGCGCAAGGAUAACAUGCGAAUUCAUGAAGCAUUCCAUAUUAAA
ensembl:snRNA U6 U6 spliceosomal RNA